GGGGCUUUAGUUUAAGGGUAAAACAUACGACUUUUAAUCGUAUUCAUGGGGGUUCAAAUCCCUUAGGCCUUA
rfam:Exophiala xenobiotica strain CBS 118157 unplaced genomic scaffold supercont1.15, whole genome shotgun sequence.